GAUUUUCUACUAAUCAGCUGGUAUUUGGAAAGCAUGAAUUCAGUUCACCACUAGUUGACAGGUGCAGUAGUGGAAUCAAGUUAAUUAGUAACAUGUUCCGCUAACAUUUCAUAACCACAACCGAAGUUUUAACUUAAUGUUAAAUAGUUCUUUAGAAUAUUUAGCCAUUUUUUUCCUUUCAAAAAUAAUUCGCCCCAGUGUUAUAUGAUACGGUUUUAAUACGUUACAGCCAACAACGACAUGCUUCAGUGUGGUUACCGUCCCAAAAGCUUUCAGUGGCUGCUGUAUGAAGUCAUGAACGAGGCCAAACUGACAAGCACUGCAGUAAAAGUCCGAUAAAUUCGAAGUUCCUGUGGAAAACCCCAUUCCUGUCCCACCCAGUGACCCAGUAAUGACUUUAUUCAGAAGCAGAGAUACUUCCGUUUUGUUAAUUAACUGGCCGAGUGAUGGCCACAGUAAUCCCUCAAUCCGGUUCAGACAUGGAUUAUUUAUCCGUCCUGUCAUACGGGAGCGGGGACAACAUGCGUGAAUCCCACACUGAUGUCCUCUGCUCUGCUCCUGCACGACUGCGCCAUAAUCUACAUGUUAUAAUCCAUGCAUGCAUGACGGGGCGUAAUCACACUUCCUCUGCGUUUCCGGCAGGAUUACUCUAUGAGGAAGUGAAGAUUUACACUGUGUGUGUGUGCUGUACAGUUUCUCCAUCUCACAGAAGCUGUCUGAACUGCACAGAGUGAGCUGUUAAAAGUCGGACAAUUCCCACUCUCCCUCUGCUUUUAGUAAGGCAGAACAGGGGAAAAGAUUAAGAGAGCAGUUCACUGAUGGGAAGAGGACGUGGCACAGACCCCCGAGACAUUACUGAGUGACAUCGAAAGACAGUCGAGCCAGAGGAAUCUUGGCAUUGAGACUUAAAGGUGCUGUAUAUGUCCUCAGAGGAAACCAAAAGCACCAGGUAACCAUGUCUCCUCUGAAGAGAAGAAAGCAACCGAGGGACGCGGGAAAAUACAUCCCGAUAUCUACACAGACACACACACACACACACACACACACACAUAGGAGAAUGAACGUGAGGGCGAACAAUGACGUCCGUUCUUUGGGUUCCUGCUCUUCGGUCGGUCAGGUACACAUCAGUGACCCGCUCAUUGAGCUGCUCUGAGAAUCUUCCAUAAUCAAAUGCAAAUAAUGUAAGUAAUACGGAGCAGAACUGCUGGAGUGAGUUUCCACCGGCCUUUAUUCAGACUCAGGGAUGUGGAGGUGGACAAACGCUCAAUGGCUGCGUUUUAAUGGAGAUAAAAUGAGGGUAAAUUGAAAGUAGGAUAUGGUAACCAGGAUACAAAUGGCACAAGGAAAUUAGAAAGUUAUUGAUUCACUGUGUGAAAAAUAUUUAAAUAUUAGAAUGAUCAAUAUAGAGAAUCGACACAACUGUAAUUACAGAGACAAAUCGAAUAUUUAUAAAAUGUCCUUAUGAAUUGCAGCUGUGUAAUUCACAGUAUUUGAUGGAUUUAUUGUGUACAUUUACAAUUAUUAUAUACACACAUUUCUCACUUUUUAUUUAUUCUUUCAUAUAUUUCAAAAAUAGAAUGUAAAAAUAUGUUAAUAUUACAUAAUAUUGUUUCUUUGUGAAGCACAAAAUACUGACUGAACAAUGCAGUGUAAUAUCAGAUUCGACAGAGACAUUUUUAGACUGAACUAUUUUUGCACUGAUAUUAUUUAUGUGAUGAAUAUAAUACAUGAAUAAAAGAAAAAAAAUAUAUGAAAAAAAAAGAUUUAAUAGAUGCAUAUUUCCUGUUAUUUUCUGGCACAAAUGGCUCCCGUGUUUCCUGAGAAUGGCCCAUUUUGAUGGCCAAUCAAGUAAAAGCACAGGAAGUCAUGAUGUAAUAUGGAGAAUUAAUUUGUCGUGACGCACUGACCCCAUGACAAAUCCGCUAAUGCAGUAAAUACUAAUGUAAUAUUACCAGCCGAUAAGCUGGAUUACAGAAAAAACAGUGAAACAGAAAUAAAACCUGGGGAUUUGAAUUAACAAGCUUUCAGAGGCCUUGUUAGUUCCACACGAUAUUGAAGGAUAUUAUGUUCAUGGCACAUACCUCUCCUGUAAAUUUCGUGUAAUUGCAUCAUGGGAUACAUUAAGCUACAACCCAGUAAUCCAGAUAAAGCAUAGAACUUCACUCUAAAACACACAGAAUGGCAAAAAGUGCUUCAAAGUAAAUGAGGUCAGUGAGCAGAAUGGACCUUUCAGUAUAGGCUUUCAGUUAAGUUUUUUGGAAAUUUACUCUAUAAUACCAUACCUCAGAACUUGUACAGUGAUCCUUUAGGCUAAAUUACCUUACACUUCAAGUAUUGACAGCUGGAGCAGUAAGAACAUACCGCUAAAGCACAAAUAUGCACAUGCAUUCACACAUGCACACACAUGCAGUUUGGAAAAACGUCUAACGUGUCUAACGUGUGACAUAGCCUGUAGAUGUAAGACCUGAGCCUACAUCUGAAGGGUUAUGUGGGUCUUCAAGAGUUCAUUGUGAGGCAUGAAAAACAAAUGAAGUCAGUGGGCAAAUGUUUUUGUGAAA